rnacentral:rRNA from 1 species
UAAUACGAGGGGGGCUAGCGUUGCUCGGAAUUACUGGGCGUAAAGGGAGCGUAGGCGGACAUUUAAGUCAGGGGUGAAAUCCCGGGGCUCAACCUCGGAAUUGCCUUUGAUACUGGGUGUCUUGAGUAUGAGAGAGGUGUGUGGAACUCCGAGUGUAGAGGUGAAAUUCGUAGAUAUUCGGAAGAACACCAGUGGCGAAGGCGACACACUGGCUCAUUACUGACGCUGAGGCUCGAAAGCGUGGGGAGCAAACAG